GGAUUGACACAUCGGUCGUGCCUUAAGGGGUAUGAACUGGUGUAGUCAAUUUCUCACCUUCUGGAGAACCGCAACGCCCUUAAUUGGGUGUCGCGGGGAACCAGGACCUUUACUUUGAAAAAAUUAGAGUGUUUAAAGCAGGCAUUUUGCUUGAAUACAUUAGCAUGGAAUAACAAAAUAGGACGGCAUGAUUCUAUUUUGUUGGUUUCUAGGAUCACCGUA
rnacentral:rRNA from 1 species